rnacentral:tRNA from 1 species
UUCCUCAAGCCAGAUUUGAACCAGCGACCUAAGGAUCACCUUUUAAACAUCUACAGUCCUCUGCUCUGCCAACUGAGCUAUCGAGGG